GGCGAUUAGCUCAGGGGGAGAGCGCUUCGUUCACACCGAAGAGGUCACUGGUUCGAUCGGCCGUUCGUCG
rnacentral:tRNA from 1 species